GACGAACGCUGGCGGCGUGCCUUACACAUGCAAGUCGAACGGAGUGGCGAACGGGUGAGUAAUGUAUCGGAACGUGCCCAGUAGCGGGGGAUAACUACGAGAAAGCGUAGCUAAUACCGCAUACUAUUGGAGCGGCCGAUAUCGGAUUAGCUAGUUGGUGGGGUAACGGCUCACCAAGGCGACGAUCCGUAGCUGGUUUGGGAGGACGACCAGCCACACUGGGACUGAGACACGGCCAAGAUGCUUACGGGAGGGAGCAGUGGGGAAUUUUGGACAAUUGGGGAAACCCUGAUCCAGCCAUCCCGCGUGUGCGAUGAAGGCCUUGGGGUUGUAAAGCACUUUUGGCAGGAAAGCGGUACCUGCAGAAUAAGCGCCGGCGAACUACGUGCCAGCAGCCGCGGUAAUAC
rnacentral:rRNA from 1 species